UGGGGAAUAUUGGACAAUGGGCGGAAGCCUGAUCCAGCAACGCCGCGUGAGGGAUGACGGCCUUCGGGUUGUAAACCUCUUUCAGUACCGACGAAGCGAAAGUGACGGUAGGUACAGAAGAAGCACCGGCCAACUACGUGCCAGCAGCCGCGGUAAUACGUAGGGUGCGAGCGUUGUCCGGAAUUAUUGGGCGUAAAGGGCUCGUAGGCGGUUUGUCGCGUCGGGAGUGAAAACACUGGGCUUAACUCAGUGCUUGCUUCCGAUACGGGCAGACUAGAGGUAUGCAGGGGGAGAACGGAAUUCCUGGUGUAGCGGUGAAAUGCGCAGAUAUCAGGAGGAACACCGGUGGCGAAGGCGGUUCUCUGGGCAUUACCUGACGCUGAGGAGCGAAAGUGUGGGGAGCGGAACAGGAUUAGAUACCCUGGUAGUCCACACCGUAAACGUUGGGCGCUAGGUGUGGGGUCCAUUCCACGGAUUCCGUGCCGCAGCUAACGCAUUAAGCGCCCCGCCUGGGG
rnacentral:rRNA from 1 species